UACGAAGGGGGCUAGCGUUGCUCGGAAUCACUGGGCGUAAAGGGUGCGUAGGCGGUUCUUUAAGUCAGGGGUGAAAUCCUGGAGCUCAACUCCAGAACUGCCUUUGAUACUGAAGAUCUUGAGUUCGGGAGAGGUGAGUGGAACUGCGAGUGUAGAGGUGAAAUUCGUAGAUAUUCGCAAGAACACCAAUGGCGAAGGCGGCUCACUGGCCCGAUACUGACGCUGAGGCACGAAAGCGUGGGGAGCAAACAGG
rnacentral:rRNA from 1 species